AACGAACGCUGGCGGCAGGCCUAACACAUGCAAGUCGAGCGCUUCACUUCGGUGAGGAGCGGCGGACGGGUUAGUAACGCGUGGGAAUCUACCCAGUAGCGGGGGAUAGCCCAGAGAAAUUUGGAUUAAUACCGCAUACGCCCUUCGGGGGAAAGCAGGGGAUCUUCGGACCUUGUGCUAUUGGAUGAGCCUGCGUGAGAUUAGCUUGUUGGUGAGGUAAAAGCUCACCAAGGCGAUGAUCUCUAGCUGGUCUGAGAGGAUGAUCAGCCACACUGGAACUGAGACACGGUCCAG
rnacentral:rRNA from 1 species